AGGCUGAGUGCGUCGGCACUCUGCAACCCAAAACAUGUUGGGGCCCGGCCUUUCGGCCGGGCCUUUUUUGCGUCAGCG
rnacentral:misc_RNA from 1 species